rnacentral:ncRNA from 1 species
UGUCUACUCCACGCGCAAGCAAUAGGUUUACCCCCAAAAAAAGGAGGAAUACAACAACCCGCCGGACUCGCGGUGCGGCAGUGUGGAGACCUGUCGCAAUGUGGUGUCGUCAUCCAUAGACGACCACGAGAUGCAAGGCGCGGAGGCCCUUGGAUCGGAGUUCAUGCGUAUGGCA